rnacentral:ncRNA from 1 species
UUAUGUUUUAUUCAUGCAUUUUUGAUUUGAUUUUAUUAAAAUAUAUAUAUAAGUUUUUUCUAGAUUAAUAAAUUUUAAAUAAAUAUUUUAUUAAUUUUUAGUUUAUAGUUUUGGUUUUUAUACUUAUGUAUUAAUUAUUUAUAUUAAUUUUAUUAUAACAAAAAUUGUGCCAGCAGUUGCGGUUAUACAAUUAUAAUAAUUAAAUUUUUUUGGUUUAUAUUAAAUUAUAUUAAUAUUGGUAUUUUUAUUUUUUUUUAGUGAAAUAUUAAUUUUGAUUAUAUUGUUUUAUAUUAUAAUAUAUGAAAGUUUUUUUUAAACUAGGAUUAGAUACCCUAUUAUUUUAACUGUAAAAUUUUAACUUAACCAUUAAUAGAUAUAAUCUUUAAAUUUAAAGAAUUUGGCGGUAAUUUAGCUUUUCAGAGGAACCUGUUCUAUAAUUGAUAAUCCACAAUGAAUUUUACUUUUAUUUGGCUUAUAUAUCUCUAUCAUUGAAUGUUUUUUUAAUUUAUUUUCGGAAUAGUUUUUAAACUAAAAUGUUAGGUCAAGGUUUAGUAAUAUAAAAGGAGAAAUGGGUUACUUUAUUAUUAUAUAAUGAUUUUUUUAUGGAAAUAAAUUUGAUUUUGGAUUUGAUAGUAAAUAUUCUUAGAAAAUAUUUUUGAUAUUAGCUCUAAAUUAUGUACAUAUCGCCCGUCGCUCUCAAUAUAUAUUGAGAUAAGUCGUAACAAAGUAGAUCUAUUGGAAAAUGGAUCUAGAUUGAU